rnacentral:lncRNA from 1 species
AAAAAAAAAUCUUAUAUUUGGGAGGUUUAAUUCUGGGCUUUCUAUUCUGUCCCAUUGCUCUGGCUGUCUAUUUUUAUGCCACCACCAUGGUGUUUUAAUAGUGUUUUAUAGAUUGUAGUAGAGUUUGAAAUGAGGAACUCUGAUGCCUCUGGUUUUGUUCUUUGUCAGGAUUCUUUUGGCUAUUCAGUUCUUUUCUGUUCCAUAAAAAGCUUAGAAUUGAUUUUUCUGUUUCUGUGGAGAAUGCCAUUGAAUCUUUCAGAGAGAUUUCUUUGACUCUACAGGUGGCAUUAAGGACCUUUUAAUCUUACAAAUUCCUCUGAUCUAUGAUCUUCCCAUUUAUUAGUGUCUUCAAUUUAUUUUAUGUCUUGUAGUGUUCAAUGAAGAGACUUUCCCCAACUUUGUUAAAUUUAUUUCAAGGUAUUUUAUCAUUUUUGAUGCUAUCAUAAAUUAGAUACUUUUUAUUUUUUCAGAUGUUUUGCUAGUUGUUUAUAGAAAUACAAUUGAUGUAUAUUGAUUUUAUAUACUGCAAUUUUACCUACUUUGGGAUUCCUUGGGAUAUUUUAAUACACUAAAUAAUACUAUCUUCAAAUAAUGAAAUAUUUAGUUCUUCUGAUUUGGAUGCCUUUCUUUGUCUUGCCUAAUUGCUCCAGCUAAUACUUCCAGUGCUGUUUUGGAGAAGAGUGAAUAAGUGGGCAUCACUGUCUUGUUCAUCUUAGAAGAACAGCUUUAACCUUUCUACCAUUGAGUGUGAUGUUAGUCAUGGGCUUGUUACAUGUGGCCUUAAUUAUGUUAGGGAUCUUCCUGCCAGACUCAAUCUGUUCAGAGUUUAUAAUCAUAAGAGAACUUCCCCUUGUCCAGUGCUUUCUCUGCAUCUAUUGAAAUGAUCAGGAUUUUAAUUUUUUACUCUAUUAAUGUGGUGUAUCCCACAUACAUGUGUAUGUUGAACCAUUCUUACAUCCCACUUGAUCACAAUGUAUAAUAAUUCACAAUGUAUUGUGGAAUUCGACUUGCUGAUAUUUUGUUUAGAAUUUUUACAUCUAUAUUAAUCAGCGUUAUUGGCCUGUAGUUUUUUUUGCUUGUAGAAUCUUUAUCUGGCUUUGAUAUCCUGGAAAUGCUGGCCUCAUAGAACAAGUUUGAAAGUAUUCCUUUCUUUUCAGUUUUCUGGAAGAGUUUGAGAAUUAUUGGUGUUAACUCCUCUUCAUAGGAUUGGUAGAAUUCACCAGUAAAGUCGUCUGGUUCCUGAGUUUCCUGUGUUCGGAGUUUUUUGAUUAUUGAUUCAAUCCCUUGUUUUUGGUGUGUUCAGGUUUUCUGUUUUUUCUUGAUUCAGUCUUGAUAGGUAGUGAGUUUCUAGGAAUUAUCAGUUUCUUCUAGAGUAUCUAAUUUGUUGGCAUAUAAUUGUUCCUAGUAGUCUCUUAUGAUGUUGUGUUUCUGUAGCAUCAGGUGUAAUGUCUCCUCCCUCAUUUCUAAUCUUGGGUCUUCUCUCUUUUUUCCUAGUCUAGCUAAAAGUUUGUGAAUUUUAUGGUUUUUAAAAUCUAGCUUUAAUUUGUUGAUCCUUCGUAUUGAUUUUCUCGUAUAUAUUUUAUUUUACUCUAUAAUCUUUCUUACAUCCUUCCUUUGGUAACUUUGGAGUAAAUUUCUUCUUUUUCUAGUUCUUUGAGGUUGAUUGCUUUGAGAACUUUCUAAUUUCUUGUCAUGCACUUAUUGCUAUAAACUUUCCUCUCUGAACUGCUUUUGCAGCAUUCUUUAGGAUUGAGUAUGCUGUAUUUCCACUUUCAUUUAAUGUUUUUAAAAAAUUUUCUAUUUAGAUUUCUUUUUUGACCCACUGAAUAUUCAGAAGUGUACUGUUUAGUUUCUAUGUAUUUGUAGACUUUCCAGAUACUGUCUUGUUGAUUUCUAGUUGUGUACCAUUGUGUUCAGAUAGCGGGUAUAAUAUGGAUCUCCUUAAAUUUGCUAAGACGUGUUUGUGUCCUAUUAUAUAUGACCUGUUGUGGAGUAUGUUCCAUGUACACUUGAGAGUAAAUUGUUGGAUGAAGUGUUCUAUAUAUGCCUGAAAAGUCCUUUUGUUGUAACAUAUAGACCAGUGUUUUCUUGUUGACUUACCAUAUGGGGUGAUCUAUCCAUUGCUGCGAGUGGAGUAUUGAAGUCCCCUACUGGUAUUGAAGUGUCUGUUUCUCCCAUCAGAUCUGUUUUUGCUUAUAUUUGGUGCUCUGUGUUGGGUGUGUAUAUAUUUACAAUUGUUAUUUCUUCUUGCUGUAUUGACCCUUGUAUCAUCACAUAAUGACCUUCUUUGUGUCUUUUAUUGUUUUUGGCUUAACAUCUAUUUCAUGUACCUAGGGCUAGCCUCACAUUAUUUAGCUUCCACUUGCAUGGAAUAUAAUCUUCCAUCUGUCAUUACUUUGAGUUUAUGUGUCUUUAAAGCAGAAACGAGUGUCUUAUAUGCAGAAUAUAAUUGGGCCUUAUUUUUUUUUUUUUAUCCAGCCAGCCACUCUAUGGUUUUAAUUUGUGAAUUAAGUCCAUUUACAUUUAGAGUGAUUUUUGUUAUGGAAGGGCUUAUUACUACCACCAGUUUUUUGCUUUCUGAUUUUGUAUUUCCAUUGUAUCUUUUCCCCUUCCGUGUCUACCUUUGUAAAUUGGUGGUUUACCAUGUUGGUAAGCUUUUUAAAUGUUUGUGAUCCUACUAAAGAUUUUUGCUUUGUGGUUAGCAUGAGGCAUACAUAAAACAUCUCAUAGUUAAAAACAGUCCAUUUUAUACUGAUAGAAACUUAUCUUUGCAUUCUUAUAAAUGUUCCAUUCCCUUAUUCUCUUCCUUUUAUAUUUUUUAUGUCACAGUAUACUUCAUUUUAUUCUGCAUAUUUGUUAAAAAGCUAUUGUAAGAGUUCCUGCUAUGGCAUAGUGGGUUAAGGAGUUGGCAUUGUCUCUGUGGUAGCUCAGGUUGCUGCUGAGGCACGAGUUUGAUCCCUGGCCCAGCAACUUCCAUAUGCUCUGGGUGCAGCUGAAAAAUUAAAAAAAGAAAAAGAAAAA